GAUCAUGGCUCAGGACGAACGCUGGCGGCGCGCCUAACACAUGCAAGUCGAACGGAGAUUACAGGCGGAAGUUUUCGGAUGGAAGCUUGUAAACUUAGUGGCAGACGGGUGAGUAACACGUGAGCAACCUGCCUAUCAGAGGGGGAUAACGAUUGGAAACGAUCGCUAAUACCGCAUGACAUAGCGGAAUCGCAUGGUUCUGUUAUCAAAGAUUUUAUCGCUGAUAGAUGGG
rnacentral:rRNA from 1 species